GUGCUCACUUUGGCGGCACAUCUAUGAAAAUUGGAAUGACACAGAGAAGAUUAGCAUGGCCCCUGUGUAAGGACAUGUAAACUUUAUCAAUCCUAUCAUCCUUUU